AUUGAACGCUGGCGGCAUGCCUUACACAUGCAAGUCGAACGGUAACAGGUCUUCGGAUGCUGACGAGUGGCGAACGGGUGAGUAAUACAUCGGAACAUGCCUAGUAGUGGGGGAUAACUACUCGAAAGAGUGGCUAAUACCGCGUGAGAUCUACGGAUGAAAGCAGGGGAUCGCAAGACCUUGUGCUACUAGAGCGGCCGAUGGCAGAUUAGGUAGUUGGUGGGAUAAAAGCUUACCAAGCCGACGAUCUGUAGCUGGUCUGAGAGGACGAUCAGCCACACUGGGACUGGUACACGGCCCAGACUCCUACGGGAGGCAGCAGUGGGGAAUUUUGGACAAUGGGCGCAGGCCUGAUCCAGCAAUGCCGCGUGCAGGAUGAAGGCCUUCGUGUUGUAAACUGCUUUUGUACGGAACGAAAAGCCCCGGGUUAAUACCCUGGGGUCAUGACGGUACCGUAAGAAUAAGCACCGGCUAACUACGUGCCAGCCGCCGCCGUAA
rnacentral:rRNA from 1 species